UUGGGCUCUCGGAAAGUAACUAACACAUACACAUUUUUUCACAUAGAGCUUUCAGCAGAGGCCAAGGCAGCAUUGCUUGAAUUUGAAGAAAGGGAGCGACAGCAUAAACAAGGACGCUACAGCUCCAGGCGGGGAGGACGGCGAGGAGGUCCACUGAUGUGUCGUGGUGUGGGGGACCAGAGGAGAGAGAGCACCGAGAGGGGCAGGAUGAAGGACCACAGACCUGCGCUGCUUCCUACACAGCCUCCUGUCGUGCCCCAGGCUCCCCCUCCACCGCCACCGCCGCCUCAGCAGCAGCCGAUCAGAAGCCUGUUCCAGCCUCAGCCGCUGCAGCCGCUGCUUCCGGUGCAGCACCCGCACCACCCAUCCCCGCCUCAGGGAAUGCACAUGCCUCCCCAGCUAGAGACCCCAAGGAUGAUGAUGACCCCGCCACCCGUGACUCCGCAGCAGCCCAAGAACAUACACAUCAACCCGCACUUCAAAGGGACGGUGGUCACGCCUGUUCAAGUGCCCUUGCUACCAGUUCCGAGCCAGCCGAGACCUGCCGUGGGACCCCAGA
rnacentral:sRNA from 1 species